GACGAACGCUGGCGGCGUGCUUAACACAUGCAAGUCGAACGGAAAGGCCCCCUUGUGGGGUACUCGAGUGGCGAACGGGUGAGUAACACGUGAGUAACCUACCCUUGACUUUGGGAUAACUUCAGGAAACUGGGGCUAAUACCGGAUAGGAGCUCCUGCUGAAUGGUGGGGGUUGGAAAGUUUCGGCGGUUGGGGAUGGACUCGCGGCUUAUCAGCUUGUUGGUGGGGUAGUGGCUCACCAAGGCUUUGACGGGUAGCCGGCCUGAGAGGGUGACCGGCCACAUUGGGACUGAGAUACGGCCCAGACUCCUACGGGAGGCAGCAGUGGGGAAUAUUGCACAAUGGGCGGAAGCCUGAUGCAGCAACGCCGCGUGCGGGAUGACGGCCUUCGGGUUGUAAACCGCUUUCGCCUGUGACGAAGCGUGAGUGACGGUAAUGGGUAAAGAAGCACCGGCUAACUACGUG
rnacentral:rRNA from 1 species